rnacentral:pre_miRNA from 1 species
AGUUGAAUUGCUGGAUUAUACGGUAGCUCUAUGUUUGAGGAACUUUCAAACUGUUUUCCAACAUGGGUGCACCAUUUUACAUUUCCACCAGCAAU